rnacentral:rRNA from 1 species
UACGUAGGGUGCAAGCGUUAAUCGGAAUUACUGGGCGUAAAGCGUGCGCAGGCGGUUUUGUAAGUCUGUCGUGAAAUCCCCGGGCUCAACCUGGGAAUUCGCGAUGGAGACUGCAAGGCUAGAAUCUGGCAGAGGGGGGUAGAAUUCCACGUGUGAGCAGUGAAAUGCGUAGAGAUGUGGAGGAACACCGAUGGCGAAGGCAGCCCCCUGGGUCGAAAGAUUGACGCUCCAUGCAC